rnacentral:rRNA from 1 species
GAUGAACGCUAGCUACAGGCUUAACACAUGCAAGUCGAGGGGAAACGAUGAGAGAGCUUGCUCUCUUAGGCGUCGACCGGCGCACGGGUGAGUAACGCGUAUCCAACCUACCCAUUACAGGGGGAUAACCUUGCGAAAGUAAGACUAAUACCCCAUGGCAUUUUAUGGGGCAUCAUUAUAGGAUUAAAGAUUUAUUGGUAAUGGAUGGGGAUGCGUCUGAUUAGCUUGUUGGCGGGGUAACGGCCCACCAAGGCAACGAUCAGUAGGGGUUCUGAGAGGAAGGUCCCCCACAUUGGAACUGAGACACGGUCCAAACUCCUACGGGAGGCAGCAGUGAGGAAUAUUGGUCAAUGGGCGAGAGCUUGAACCAGCCAAGUAGCGUGCAGGAUGACGGCCCUAUGGGUUGUAAACUGCUUUUAUAGGGGAAUAAAGUGAGCUACGUGUAGUUUAUUGCAUGUACCCUAUGAAUAAGGACCGGCUAAUUCCGUG